CAGUGGCGGGCAGGCCCUAACACAUGCAGUCGAGCGGCAGCACGGGUACUUGUACCUGGUGGCGAGCGGCGGACGGGUGAGUAAUGCCUAGGAAUCUGCCUAGUAGUGGGGGAUAACGUCCGGAAACGGGCGCUAAUACCGCAUACGUCCUACGGGAGAAAGUGGGGGAUCUUCGGACCUCACGCUAUUAGAUGAGCCUAGGUCGGAUUAGCUAGUUGGUGAGGUAAUGGCUCACCAAGGCGACGAUCCGUAACUGGUCUGAGAGGAUGAUCAGUCACACUGGAACUGAGACACGGUCCAGACUCCUACGGGAGGCAGCAGUGGGGAAUAUUGGACAAUGGGCGAAAGCCUGAUCCAGCCAUGCCGCGUGUGUGAAGAAGGUCUUCGGAUUGUAAAGCACUUUAAGUUGGGAGGAAGGGCAGUUACCUAAUACGUGAUUGUUUUGACGUUACCGACAGAAUAAGCACCGGCUAACUCUGUGCCAGCAGCCGCGGUAAUACGGAGGGUGCAAGCGUUAAUCGGAAUUACUGGGCGUAAGCGCGCGUAGGUGGUUUGUUAAGUUGGAUGUGAAAUCCCGGGCUCAACCUGGGAACUGCAUCCAAAACUGGCAAGCUAGAGUAUGGUAGAGGGUGGUGGAAUUUCCUGUGUAGCGGUGAAAUGCGUAGAUAUAGGAAGGAAGCACCAGUGGCGAAAGGCGACCACCUGGACUGAUACUGACACUGAUGUGCGAAAGCGUGGGGAGCAAACACGAGUAGAUACCCUGGUAGUCCACGCCGUAACGAUGUCAACUAGCCGUUUGGGGAGCCCUUGAGCUCUUACUGGCGCAGCUAACGCAAUUAAGUUGACCGCCUGGGGGAGUACGGCCGCAAGGUGAAAACUCAGAUGAAUUGACGCGGCUCGCACAAGCGGUGGAGGCAUGUGGUUGACUUCGAAGCACGCGAAAAAGCGUGACCAGCCUUGACAUCCAUGACGUUUCUAAAAAUAGAAUUGGUUGCUUCCUGUAACAUGAAACAGUGCUGCAUGGCCUGUCGUUCAGCUUCGGUCCUUGCAUGUAGUAGUUCCGUACGAGCGCAAGCCUGGUCCUUAGCUUACAGCACGGUACGUUGGGACGCUCUUAG
rnacentral:rRNA from 1 species